GGGUUGUGAGGUUAAGCGACUAAGCGUACACGGUGGAUGCCCUGGCAGUCAGAGGCGAUGAAGGGCGUGCUAAUCUGCGAUAAGCGCCGGUAAGGUGAUAUGAACCGUUAUAACCGGCGAUACCCGAAUGGGGAAACCCAGUGUGACUCGUCACACUAUCAUUAACUGAAUCCAUAGGUUAAUGAGGCGAACCGGGGGAACUGAAACAUCUAAGUACCCCGAGGAAAAGAAAUCAACCGAGAUUCCCCCAGUAGCGGCGAGCGAACGGGGAGGAGCCCAGAGCCUGAAUCAGCAUGUGUGUUAGUGGAAGCGUCUGGAAAGACGCGCGAUACAGGGUGACAGCCCCGUACACAAAAGCGUAUGUGCUGUGAGCUCGAUGAGUAGGGCGGGACACGUGGUAUCCUGUCUGAAUAUGGGGGGACCAUCCUCCAAGGCUAAAUACUCCUGACUGACCGAUAGUGAACCAGUACCGUGAGGGAAAGGCGAAAAGAACCCCGGCGAGGGGAGUGAAAAAGAACCUGAAACCGUGUACGUACAAGCAGUGGGAGCACAGGUUUACCUGUGUGACUGCGUACCUUUUGUAUAAUGGGUCAGCGACUUAUAUUCUGUAGCAAGGUUAACCGAAUAGGGGAGCCGGAGGGAAACCGAGUCUUAAUUGGGCGUUAAGUUGCAGGGUAUAGACCCGAAACCCGGUGAUCUAGCCAUGGGCAGGUUGAAGGUUGGGUAACACUAACUGGAGGACCGAACCGACUAAUGUUGAAAAAUUAGCGGAUGACCUGUGGCUGGGGGUGAAAGGCCAAUCAAACCGGGAGAUAGCUGGUUCUCCCCGAAAGCUAUUUAGGUAGCGCCUCGUGAAUUCAUCUCCGGGGGUAGAGCACUGUUUCGGCUAGGGGG
rnacentral:rRNA from 1 species